AAAAAUAGGUUAGGUUAAUGUGUGUGGAUAAAUGACAUAACUUUCAAGUAUAUGUCAUUUAUCCACACACAUUAACCUAACCUAUUU
rnacentral:pre_miRNA from 1 species